GACGUAGGGCGCGAGCGUUGUCCGGAUUUAUUGGGCGUAAAGAGCUCGUAGGCGGUUUGUUGCGUCGGCUGUGAAAUCCCGAGGCUCAACCUCGGGUCUGCAGUCGAUACGAGCAAACUAGAGUGUUGCAGGGGAGACUGGAAUUCCUGGUGUAGCGGUGAAAUGCGCAGAUAUCAGGAGGAACACCGGUAGCGGAAGGCGGGUCUCUGGGCAACAUCAUGACGCUGAGGAGCGAAAGCGUGGGGAGC
rnacentral:rRNA from 1 species